UACGUAGGGUGCAAGCGUUAAUCGGAAUUACUGGGCGUAAAGCGUGCGCAGGCCGGUUUUGUAAGUCUGACGUGAAAUCCCCGGGCUCAACCUGGGAAUUGCGUUGGAGACUGCAAGGCUAGAAUCUGGCAGAGGGGGGUAGAAUUCCACCGUGUAGCAGUGAAAUGCGUAGAGAUGCGGAGGAACACCGAUGGCGAAGGCAGCCCCCUGGGUCAAGAUUGCGCUCAUG
rnacentral:rRNA from 1 species